AAUUUCAAUGUAACCCCGGCCCGAUCAACCAUUUCUUUAAAAAUCUUUACAUUUCUUUAUAUGUAACGACCUUUAAAGACGUUCAUACCGAAAAUCGAUAGCGAUCGACAUCGUUUCAUAAAGAAAUUUAAAUAACAACCAAGUUACUUCGAUAUCGAUUGAUAAAUAUUUUUGACGACACAUCGAUAGGGGAACAAAGCCCAAAAUGCCAAGAUGGGGUAAAAUGGCCCAACUCAUAAAAUCAUUCCUGGAUGGGACUUGAUCAUUGCAAUAGGUAAAUGGUGUCAAGAUAUGUUUGCAUCAAACAUUCUUCUAGAAGCUAGGCCACCAAACCCACGAAAAAUCCUUUGAUUUCCCAAUGAAAAUUGGCAACUUCCGGUUUUUCGUGCUUGGAAUUAAGGUUUUCUGAUGAAUUUAUUACCAGCCAAGUGUUUCCAACGAGAUUGAGGCACGCAUGGAGACGCAUGGUUGUUGAUGUCUAAGCUUUCCAUGUUAGGGGUCAUUCAAAUAUUACGAUUAUCGUUUUGCGGGGAGGGGGGUUAUACACCAUUUAUUGAGUAUACGAAAAAAACGGGACAGAGGGGGGAAAAUGAGUCGGAAAUGCCCGAAAACUGAUGGACGUAAUUUUUGAAUGUUUUCAUGAAGUGGCAUCUUACCCCAUGGCAGAUGGUCGUUUUGCACCACUUCCGUUUUACGAAUCAGUUUUUAAAAUCGCUGAAAAUCGAUGAAAAUGUAAUAGUUUUGUGAAUAUUUUUGCUGAGGUAUCGAGCAAAUAUUGUCUAGUUGCUGUUACCACUUUGGAAACCUAACAAAUGAGGCUAAUUAUCAUUGAAAACGAUGAAAGUUUGAAAAAUGGCAUUUUACCCCACUUGACCCUAUUAAAAAUAGUGGGUUCUACUUUACCGAGCUGUCAUAAUCAUUCAAAAAAGCUAAAAAAAGCCACCUCACCCACCACCCACUCUUCCUGUUCAUGUUUAUUAUGAUUUUUUUUGUAAUCAUUUCCUAAAUUGGGAAUUGAACUUACAUUCAUAGGAACUGGGAGAUGUUAUGUUUAUAUAGUUACUUACUGAGUCACACGGUAUUACAAUGAUUAUGGGUGGCCAAAUGCAUUCAAAUACCCAAAAAAUUACUAGCCUUUAGCACUUUCCAAAGCCACAACAGAAUUAUUAAAAAAUGUAUCCGGCUUUGACGAACUGAAUAAACAUCAUAUUGAGAAACCAUAAUUAAUCAAAUAAAACAUAAUUAUAAUCAAUUAAAGUUCGGAUCUUUCACAGGGUUCCCGAACGGAGUGAGUUUUGCCGGUGAACGGAAAUAACGCAACACGGCGGUGGCGUCCUACUGCCAAUAAAAUGACCAGAAUACCUACCAAUAUGUAUUUCUACUGAUGUUGCUGUCCCGGGGAGCAAUCCGUGCCUCCAACCAACCAACGAUCCUCCGGAUGAACGGGACUCACCAAAUCCGGGAGCAGCUCGAGGAAAAACGAAAACAUUGCAGCAGCAAACAUUAUCCCCGUCGUCUUCGGUCUUGUUUUGCCAGCCUGCUGAUGCCCACGGAGCGCUCCGAAACAAAUCCGGAAAUACUCUGGAACGUUCUGGAAAUACCGAGUUCAACAUACAGUUAUCAGCUGUUUUUACUACAGGAUCGUUCAAAUCUGGAGCUACAUAGUCGUUCGUAUUCUUGGCAGCACAAAUUACCUCAUCGGAAUGGAACCACGCCCGAAAGACGAUGAAGUUCCACCGCGUCAGCAGCCGGGGUUUUACGCUGGCUGGCCGCCGCCCACCGGCUAUCAUACAACGUGACGUCCCGGUUGGGUUGCAGCCGAUCGACCACCAUUCUUUGCGGUUCGUUUGGUGUGGCUGCUGGCGCUGAUGUGUAGCAGUUUCAUGAUAGGUUCGCUGACGACUGAUGGUUCCAGUGUGAAUUGUCACGGAAUGGAUCUAUUGCCGAUGGGCUCGUGGGUAACUCCUCCGAAUACGGCGGUCGCAAACAGAGCGAAACAAAAAAUGGUUGGUAGGCCAUCACCAGCGGAAGCAGCCCUUUUAGGAACAACACCAACAGCCUCCGGUGAAUGAUCCUCCGGAUGAGCGGGACUUACCGUUGCCGAUGUGCAAGCCGUUUAGUAGGUAGACCCGAUACGAUGAUUCAUGCUGAUAUAGAUUGUCUAUAUUAUCCUAAUCAGUUUUGACUACUUAUUCUACCUUCUUGUUAUACGUUCCCACUGGAACUUGGCCUCCCUCUUUUUAACCAUGCUCUUUGUGUAUAUUGUGACGUAAGCACAAUAUUACACUGCCCAAGAAGUUGAUCAAAUUUCCCAACCGAAGCGGGAAUCGAACCCACGGUUUCCGGAUAGGCGGUCUAUAAAUAUUGUCAUACGCUAGACUUAUUGGAGACCCUAUUAGUUUUGAAUGAGAUUCAAAAAUGUUUAAACUUAAAACAUUUUAAGGUCAGGAUAUUACUAUAGAUAGUAGAGUAAACUUACUCUACUAUCUAUAGAUAUUACUAUUAAGAAGAUUUUUGGUCCGAGUAUGAAUCACAAUACUGAUUUUGAAAAACUUUUUCUUUCUGAUGUUACAAUCCAAUUGAGACAGAGUCCGCAUCUCACCUUAGAGAGGUUAGAGAUUUUCAGGAAUUAUUCAAAUAUUUUUCCGGGAUGUUUUUGACUCACAUAAAUAAUUGAGAAUGAAUUUCUGAGAAUCCAUAGGAAUUUUCAGGAAUUAUUUCAAUAUUUUCCGGGAUGCUUUUGACUCACAUAAAUGAUUGAGAAUAUUUUCUUAAAUUCGUAGAAUACAUCCCAUAUGACUGGGAUUUUCUGAGAAUCCUUUGGGAUUUCCAGGAAUUAUUCAAAUAUUUUCCGGGAUGCUUUUGAUCAACAUAAAUGAUAGAGAAUAUUUUCUUAAAUUCGUAGGAUACAUCCCAGAUGACUAGGAAUUUCUGAGAAUCCUUAGAAAUUUUCAGGAAUUAUUUCAAUAUUUUCCGGGAUGCUUUCGAAUCACAUAUGAUUGAGCAUAUUUUCUUAAAUUCGUAGAAUACAUCCCAGAUGACUGGGAAUUUCUAAGAAUCCUUAGGAAUUUUCAGGAAUUAUUCAAAUAUUUUCCGAGAUGCUAUUGACUAACAUAAAUAAUUGAGAAUAUUUUCUUAAAUUCGUAGGAUACAUCCCAGAUGACUGGGAAUUUCUGAGAAUCCUAAGGGAUUUUCUGGAAUUAUUUCAAUAUUUUCCGGGAUGCUUUUGAAUCACAUAUGAUUGAAAAUAUUUUCUGAAAUUCGUAGAAUAUAUCCCAGAUGACUGGGAAUUUCUGAGAAUCCUUAGGAAUUUUCAGGAAUUAUUGAAACAUUUUCCGGAAUGCUAUUGACUAACAUAAAUGAUUGAGAAUAUUUUCUUAAAUUCGUAGGAUACAUCUCAGAUGACUGGGAAUUUCUGAGAAUCCUUAGGAGUUUUCAGGAAUUAUUCAAAUAUUUUCCGAGAUGCUUUUGACUCACAUAAAUGAUUGAGAAUAUUUUCUUAAAUUCGUAGGAUACAUCUCAGAUGACUGGGAAUUUCUGAGAAUCCUUACGAAUUUUCAGGAAUUAUUCAAAUAUUUUCCGAGAUGCUUUUGACUCACAUAAAUGAUUGAGUCUUCUUCUUCUUCUUGGCGUAACGUCCUCACUGGGACAAAGCCUGCUUCUCAGCUUAGUGUUCUAUGAGCACUUCCACAGUUAUUAACUGAGAGCUUCCUCUGCCAAUGACCAUUUUGCAUGUGUAUAUCGUGUGGCAGGCACGAAGAUACUCUAUGCCCAAGGAAGUCAAGAAAAUUUCCUUUACGAGAAGAUCCUGGACCGACCGGGAAUCGAAUCCGUCACCCUCAGCAUGGUCAUGCUGAAUACCCGUGCGUUUACCGCCUCGGCUAUAUGGGCCCUAAAUGAUUGAGAGUAUUUUCUUAAAUUCGUAGAAUAAAUCCCACAUGGCUAGGAAUUUCUGAGAAUCCUUAGGGAUUUUCAGGAAUUAUUUAAAUAUUUUCUUAUAUGCUUUUGCCUCACAUAAAUAAAUGAGAAUAUUUUCUUCAAUUCGUAGAAUACAUCCCAGAUGACUGGGAAUUUCUGAGAAUCCUUAGGAAUUUUCAGGAAUUAUUGAAAUAUUUUCCGGGAUGCUAUUGACUAACAUAAAUGAUUGAGAAUAUUUUCUUAAAUUCGUAGGAUUCAUCCCAAAUGACUAGGAAUUUCUGAGAAUCUUUAGGAAUUUUCAGGAAUUAUUUCAAUAUUUUCCGGGAUGCUUUUGAAUCACAUAUGAUUGAAAGUAUUUUCGUAAAUUCGUAGAAUAUAUCCCAGAUGACUGGGAAUUUCUGAGAAUCCUUAGGGAUUUUCAGGAAUUAUUCAAAUAUUUUCUUAGAUGCUUUUGCCCCACAUAAAUGAAUGAGAAUAUUUUCUUAAAUUCGUAGAAUAUAUCCCAGAUGACUGGGAACUUCUGAGAAUCCUUAGGAAUUUUCAGGAAUUAUUCAAAUAUUUUCCGAGAUACUUUUGACUCACAUAAAUGAUUGAGAAUAUUUUCUUAAAUUCGUAGAAUAAAUCCCACAUGGCUAGGAAUUUCUGAGAAUCCUUAGGGAUUUUCAGGAAUUAUUUAAAUAUUUUCUUAGAUGCUUUUGCCUCACAUAAAUGAAUGAGAAUAUUUUCUUAAAUUCGUAGGAUACAUCCCAGAUGACUGGGAAUUUCUGAGAAUCCUUAGGAAUUUUCAGGAAUUAUUCAAAUAUUUUCCGAGAUGCUUUUGACUAACAUAAAUGAUUGAGAAUAUUUUCUUAAAUUCGUAGAAUACAUCCCAUAUGACUGGGAUUUUCUGAGAAUCCUUUGGGAUUUCCAGGAAUUAUUCAAAUAUUUUCCGGGAUGCUUUUGACUCACAUAAAUGAUUGAGAGUAUUUUCUUAAAUUCGUAGAAUAAAUCCCACAUGGUUAGGAAUUUCUGAGAAUCCUUAGGGAUUUUCAGGAAUUAUUUCAAUAUAUUCUUAAAUGCUUUUGCCUCACAUAAAUGAAUGAGAAUAUUUUCUUAAAUUCGUAGAAUAUAUCCCAGAUGACUGGGAAUAUCUGAGAAUCCUUAGGAAUUUUCAGGAAUUAUUGAAAUAUUUUCCGGGAUGCUAUUGACUAACAUAAAAGAUUGAGAAUAUUUUCCUAAAUUCGUAGGAUACAUCCCAGAUGGCUAGGAAUUUCUGAGAAUCCUUAGGGAUUUUCAGUUUUUAUUUAAAUAUUUUCCGGGAUGCUAUUGACUCAUAAAUGAUUGAGAAUACUUUCUUAAAUUCGUAGGAUACAUCCCACAUGACUAGGAAUUUCUGAGAAUCCUUAAGAAUUUUCAGGAAUUAUUUCAAUAUUUUCCGGGAUGCUUUUGAAUCACAUAUGAUGGAGAAUAUUUUCUCAAAUUCGUAGAAUAUAUCCCAGAUGACUGGGAAUUUCUGAGAAUCCUUAGGGAUUUUCAGGAAUUAUUCAAAUAUUUUCUUAGAUGCUUUUGCCCCACAUAAAUGAAUGAGAAUAUUUUCUUAAAUUCGUAGAAUAUAUCCCAGAUGACUGGGAAUUUCUGAGAAUCCUUUGGAAUUUUCAGGAAUUAUUCAAAUAUUUUCCGAUAUACUUUUGACUCACAUAAAUGAUUGAGAAUAUUUUCUUAAAUUCGUAGAAUAAAUCCCACAUGGCUAGGAAUUUCUGAGAAUCCUUAGGGAUUUUGAGGAAUUAUUUAAAUAUUUUCCGGGAUGCUAUUGACUCAUAAAUGAUUGAGAAUACUUUCUUAAAUUCGUAGGAUACAUCCCAGAUGACUAGGAAUUUCUGAGAAUCCUUAAGAAUUUUCAGGAAUUAUUUCAAUAUUUUCCGGGAUGCUUUUGAAUCACAUAUGAUUGAGAAUAUUUUCUUAAAUUCGUAGAAUAUAUCCCAGAUGACUGGGAAUUUCUGAGAAUCCUUAGGGAUUUUCAGGAAUUAUUUAAAUAUUUUCUUAGAUGCUUUUGCCUCACAUAAAUGAAUGAGAAUAUUUUCUUAAUUUCGUAGGAUACAUCCCAGAUGACUGGGAAUUUCUGAGAAUCCUUAGGAAUUUUCAGGAAUUAUUCAAAUAUUUUCCGAGAUGCUUUUGACUAACAUAAAUGAUUGAGAAUAUUUUCUUAAAUUCGUAGAAUACAUCCCAUAUGACUGGGAUUUUCUGAGAAUCCUUUGGGAUUUCCAGGAAUUAUUCAAAUAUUUUCCGGGAUGCUUUUGCCUCACAUAAAUGAUUGAGAAUAUUUUCUUAAAUUCGUAGGAUACAUCCCAGAUGACUGGGAAUUUCUGAGAAUGCUAAGGGAUUUUCUGGAAUUAUUUCAAUAUUUUCCAGGAUGCUUUUGAAUCACAUAUGAUUGAGAAUAUUUUCUUAAAUUCGUAGAAUACAUCUCAGAUGACUGAGAAUUUCUGAGAAUCCGUAGGAAUUUUCAGGAAUUAUUCAAAUAUUUUCCGAGUUGCUUUUGACUCACAUAAAUGAUUGAGAAUGUUUUCUUAAAUUCGUAGAAUACAUCCAAUAUGACUGGGAUUUUCUGAGAAUCCUUAGGAAUUUUCAGGAAUUAUUCAAAUAUUUUCCGAGAUGCUUUUGAAUCACAUAAAUGAUUGAGAUUAUUUUCUUAAAUUCGUGGAAUACAUCCCAGAUGACUGGGAAUUUCUGAGAAUCCUAAGGGAUUUUCAGGAAUUAUUUAAAUAUUUUCCGGAUGCUUUUGGUUCACAAAAAUGAUUGAGAAUAUUUUCUUAAAUUCGUAGGAUACAUCCCAGAUGACUGGGAAUUUCUGAGAAUCCCUAGGGAUUUUCAGGAAUUAUUCAAAUAUUUUCCGAGAUGCUUUUGACUCACAUAAAUGAUUUACAAUAUUUUCUUAACUUAAAAGGGAUACCUUCAUGGCCUCAGUUUCGUCACCCCGCUGAGUGUGUUCCACCAAAGACGAGCUCUGAAAGGCGCCUGGGGUCCAAUGGACCCCAGGUAUCCCUUUUUGGGUUAAAUUCGUAGGAUACAUCCUAAAUGACUGGAAAUUUCUGAGAAUCCUAAGGGAUUUUCAUCAAUUAUUCAAAUAUUUUCCGAGAUGCUCGGAAAUGAUUGAGAAUAUUUUCUUAAAUUCGUAGGAUACAUCCCAGAUGACUAGGUAUUUCUGAGAAUCCUUAGGAAUUUUCAGUUAUUAUUUAAAACUUUUCCGAGAUGCUUUUGCCUCACAUAAAUGAAUGAGAAUAUUUUCAUAAAUUCAAAGGAUAUCCCAGAUGACUGGGAAUUUCUGAGAAUCCUAAGGGAUUUUCAGGAAUUAUUCAAAUAUUUUUCGAGUUGCUUUUGAAUCACAUAAAUGAUUGAAAAUAUUUUUUCUAAAUUCGUAGGAUAUAUCCCAGAUGAAUAAGAAUUUCUGAGAAUCCUGAGGGAUUUUCAGUAAUUAUUUAAUCAUUUUCUUAUAUGCUUUUGACUCACAUAAAUGCUUGAGAAUAUUUUCUUUAAUCCGUAGAACAGUCUUGCGAAUAAUCGCGACCAUCAUGAGACAAUCACUUGAACCGCUUUCUGGAGUCACCCUUCCCAAGGUGAUACGAACCAGAUAGCAUGUCAUGCCUGGAAUGACAAACAUGUUGUGGGUUCCACCCUUCGCAGCCUUGCAGCGAUAGCAGUUGCUGAGUAUGUUUCAGGCGGGUUGCUAGAGAAUCAAUCUCUCUGAGCAACGAUGCAUAACGGGCGAAGUGAGAGCGUUUGCCGUAGCCAGGGCGAACUGCGUGGUGCGCUCAAUGUGUGCGUUUAAACUGAGCUAUGCAAAACGAAUAGGAUUUAUGACGUAGUACCGUGCUUGUGAUAAUACACAUGCAUAGUUUUACAUACUGUUGCGCGUGCAUCUGCUUGAGGCGACGGAGAGAGUCAUGACACUCACAUGAGCCGUAUCCAAGUCAGGAUGAUUGUACCAAAACAAGGGUGACCGGGUGACUAUGAUGGGAUUCUGUCUUUUCUGGUGUUAGCGACUGUAGAGAGAGCGAAUCAGAAACCGCAGAGACAGGGUGAUAGAAGUUUGGUGUUUAUCAGCUUUUUUGUGACUUGUACGCUGAUGCUUCGCGACACUGCCGUAGAAUACAUCCCAGAUGACUGGGAAUUUCUGAGAAUCCUUGGGAAUUUUUAGGAAUUAUUUAAUUAUUUUCCGAGAAAGAAUUCUCGAGGAACUCCUUAAGGAAUUUCCGAGGAACUUCUGGAGGAAUUCCCUAGGAACCUCUGGAAGAAUUCCCGAUAGACAACUGGAAGAAUGCCCGAUGAAUUUCUAAAAGAAUACCCAGGAACUUCUGGAAGAAUUUCCGAGGAACUCUUAGAAGAAUUACUUUGGAACUUCUGGAAGAAUCCCGAAGAACUACGAAAAGAAUUCCCGAGAAACAUCUGGAAGAUUUCCAGAGUGUUAUAUCUGGAGUUUUCGGUUAUUUGGAGCUAUAGAAAAUACGUCGUGUUUGGAUCACAGUCUAAAGACAACUCAUUUUAUUUAUUCUUUGGUAUGUGCGUUCUAGUAUUCAUGCUGGCACCUGAAGGUGACAGCAUGUGUCGGAGUUCAUACAGAUUUUCGAUGGUGUAGUCUUUAACACCGUAACAACUCCUUUCCCCUUGAGUUUUAGCAUUACAUUAUUCCGAAAUGUAAAAACAUAAACAUAAUUUAUAUCUUUGUCUACUCAGAUCAUAAUUAAAGCAUUUCGAAUUGAAUCGUCAUUUACAUUCAGAAAGUGAAUUUAUCACCUACAUGCAGAUGACUUAUAACAUUUGCUUUUUAAUUAUUGCGCGUGAUUAGUAUAUACAUUGCUUUCAACUAUUUCUUUCCCGAAAAUAAAAAUACACUGAUCAAAAGCUUUUCUAAUUAAGCAGUAAUACAAAAUGAAACAUAAUGUUGCAAAAAUAAAUUAACAAACACAGUUAAAAAAUAAAAUUCAAAGCAACUAUUGUGAAAUGCAGAGAAAUAUAUAAAGGUAUACACGGGAACCUAAUCACUUAAGUCGAAAAUAAACUACACAAAACAAUUCACUGGAACUCAAAAGAAACACAGUAUUUUUGUUCAACAAAGCAUACAAAAACAACAAAAUUGACUAUCGUUGUAAUCAUCUUCUACCGCGACGAAGUUGAACAGCACUAAUCUCCCAAGGUUGAACAUUGAAUCAUCGAUCAACGUUACUGCGAUGAAACAGCCAUGAGAAGAUCCGCACAAACAGCUGCAGUAGUGUAUCUCAUUCAUGUUUCUCUUCGACGGGUGCCGAGAAAGGUUGAUUGUUGGUUGCGCUCCAAUAGUAGCUGAUCGCGAGCCCAAUACUGCUCUCCUCACUAUUUUUCUAACAAAGCCGUUGAUAAAAGCACUGUGAUGAAAAGGCCAUCCGCCGCCAUAGCAAAAACGCAGCAUACAAAAUAACCCGUAGAUUCUAUGGUAUAGUUACACAAAAAUUAAAUUUCUCUAUAGGUUUUUAAAUGCAACAAUUGCGGAAAAACUUGUAUAUGCUCGACAAAAAAAAAACUGGUCAAAAAAUCAAAAUAGAACCUUCUAUCCAGGGAAGAAAAAAAAAAUGCUAACGCAAUCUCCUGGACGGCAAAAACAAAAGAUCAAAAAAUACGAGCUUCACUGCACAACGGUCAUCUAUGGCGGGCAAAAAAAAACAACCAAACACGACAAAAACUACAAUGUCCACUAGGACUUAUGCACGCAAAUACAUAAAAAACACCAAAUUUCGCAGACGAGUGAAAACAAAUUUUAGAAUACUAAAAAUACAAUCGUACUUCAUCCUCGAGCCACUGUUAUAUCUGGAGUUUUCGGUUAUUUGGAGCUAUAGAAAAUACGUCGUGUUUGGAUCACAGUCUAAAGACAACUCAUUUUAUUUAUUCUUUGGUAUGUGCGUUCUAGUAUUCAUGCUGGCACCUGAAGGUGACAGCAUGUGUCGGAGUUCAUACAGAUUUUCGAUGGUGUAGUCUUUAACACCGUAACACAGAGGAACUUGUGGAAGAACUCCCGAGAAACUCCUGGAAAAAUUCCUGAGAAACUUCUGGAAGAAUUCCCGAAAAACUUCUUGAAGAACUCCCGAGGAACUUAUGGAAGAAUUACUAAGGAACUUGUGGAAGAUUUUGUGGAAGAACUUCUGGAAGAAUACCCGAGGAACUUCUGGAAGAACUCUCGAGGAACUUCCAGAAGAAUUCUCUAGGAGCUUUUGAAAUUAUUCCCGAAAAACUUCUGCAAGAAUCCCCGAGGAACUCCUGGAAGAAUUCCCGAGGAACUUCUGGAAGAAUUCGCCAGGAACUUCCAGAAGAAUGCCCGAAGAGCUUUCGAAAGAAUUCCCGAGGAACUUUUGGAAGAAUUCCCUAGGAAAUUCUGGAUAAAUUCCCAAAGAAGUUUUGGAAGAAUUACCGAGGAACUUCUGGAAGGAUUCCGUUGGAAUAUGAGGUGGAAUUCCCGAGGAACUUCCGGAAGAAUUCCCAAGGAACUUCUGGAAAAAUUUCGGAGGAAUAUCUGGAAAAUUCACGAGGAACUUCUGGAAUAAUUCUUGAAGAACUUCUGGAAGAAUUCCCGAGGAAUAUCUGGAAGAAUUCCUGAGGAACUUCUGGAAGAAUUCCCAAGGAACUUCAGGAAGAAUUGCUGAAGAACUUCUGCAAGAAUUUAUGAGGAGCUUCUAGAAGAAUUUCCGAGGAACUUCUGGAAGAAUUUCCGAGGAACUUCUGGAAGAAUUUCCGAGGAACUUCUGGAAGAAUUUCCGAGGAACUUCUGGAAGAAUUUCCGAGGAACUUCUGGAAGAAUUUCCGAGGAACUUCUGGAAGAAUUUCCGAGGAACUUCUGGAAGAAUUUCCGAGGAACUUCUUGAAGAAUUCCCGAGGAACUUCUAGAAGAAUUCCCGAGAAACUUCUGGAAGAAUUACCGAGGAACUCCUUUAAGAGUUCCAGAGGAACUUCUGGAAGAAUUACCGAGGAACUCCUGGAAGAAUUCCCGAGGAACUUCUGGAAGAAUUCCCGAGGAACUUCUGGAAGAAUUCCCGAGGAACUCCUAGAAGAAUUCCCUACAACUUCUGAAAGAAUUCUUGAGGAACUUCUGGAAGAAUUCCAGAGAAACUUCUGGAAGAAUUCCCGAGGAACUUCAGGAAUUGCUCCCGAGGAGUUUUUGAAAUAAUUUCCGAGAAUUUUAUGGAAGAAUUCCAGAGGAAAAUAUGGAAGCAUUUUCGAGGAACUUCUGGAAGAACUCAGGAACUGCUGGAACAAUCCCCAAGGUACUUACGGAAGAACUCACGAGGAAAUUUUGGAAGGAUUCCCGAGGAGCUUUUGAAAUUAUUCCCGAGGAACUUCUGGAAGAAUUCCCGGAAUAUGAGGAAGAAUUCCCGAGGAACUUCUGGAAAAAUUCUGAAGGAACUUCUGGAAGAACUCCCGAGGAGCUUUUGAAAUAAUUCCCGAGAAUCUUAUGGAUGAAUUCCGGAGGAAAAUCUGGAAGAAUUUCCGAGAAACUUCUAGAAGAACUCCCAAAGAACUUCUGGAAGGAUUCCGUUGGAAUAUGAGGAAGAAUUCCAGAGACACUUCUUGAAGAAUUCCCGAUGAACUUCUGGAAGAAUUCCCGAUGAACUUCUGGAAGAACUCCCGAGGAACUUCUGGAAGAAUUCCAGAGGAAAAUAUGGAAGAAUUUUCGAGGAAUUCUCGAGGGAGUUUAUAGAAAUGGCCGGGAACAAACGUCUUCAGCUUUUCCUGAGAAUGGCAAGCUUACGUUUUCUGGAAUCCUAAGAAUCAUUUUGGUAUACCCAAGAAUCAUUAUAUUCUCUAGAAAUGUUCAGAUAUAAAAGGAUUAUUUUUAAUAAUGCCAAAGAUCUCCAGUUUAUUCGUGGAAUCUUUAUGUGCAUUCCCCCCUGUAUCUCAAAGAAUUACCAACUCUUCUCUCGAGACCCUCACGGUAUAUCUAUAAAUGUUAAGUUACUUAUUCACCUAAAUAUUAUUAUAUUAUUUUAAAUAAAUAAA